rnacentral:tRNA from 2 species
GGGCGGUAAGCUAAUCAGGUGAAAGCGCCGGACUGAAGAUCCGGAGAGCAGGGUUCGAUACCCUGACCGCCCA